rnacentral:rRNA from 1 species
AACGAACGCUGGCGGCAUGCCUAACACAUGCAAGUCGAACGAGAUCUUCGGGUCUAGUGGCGCACGGGUGCGUAACGCGUGGGAAUCUGCCCUUUGGUUCGGAAUAACAGUUGGAAACGACUGCUAAUACCGGAUGAUGACGAAAGUCCAAAGAUUUAUCGCCAGAGGAUGAGCCCGCGUAGGAUUAGCUAGUUGGUGUGGGAAAGGCGCACCAAGGCGACGAUCCUUAGCUGGUCUGAGAGGAUGAUCAGCCACACUGGGACUGAGACACGGCCCAGACUCCUACGGGAGGCAGCAGUGGGGAAUAUUGGACAAUGGGCGAAAGCCUGAUCCAGCAAUGCCGCGUGAGUGAUGAAGGCCUUAGGGUUGUAGAGCUCUUUUACCCGGGAUGAUAAUGACAGUACCGGGAGAAUAAGCUCCGGCUAACUCCGUGCCAGCAGCCGCCGUAA